rnacentral:snRNA from 1 species
GUACUCAGUUCAGCUGCACAUAUACUAAAAUUGGAAUGAUACAGAGAAGAUUUGCAUGGCCCCUGAGCAAGGAUGACAUGCAAAUUCGUGAAGCAUUCCAUAUUUUU